rnacentral:misc_RNA from 1 species
CAGCUUUGUUCACUACAAGAAUAACAGGUCCUGUUGCAGAUGAUGGUAGAGUGCCGGGGAUAAUUCUAUCCACCUGUAUUAGCUCUCCAAAAGCAUCUCCUGGAACGAGAACGUCCCAUCCCGAUGACCCAAUUGUCCUUCUAACAGCCUUCAAAAGUAGAGUAGCAAACUUCGAAACCUGAAAAACCACACCUGCUCGAAUUUCAGCUUCAGUAAAUGUUCUGACAGUAUUUUCAGGAAUUCCCAAAGAUUUUCCUAAAAUCUGUACUUUUUCAGGGAAUAUUUGGAUAAGUGUCUCGGAAUACUCCUCAGUUAACCUUCGACUUCUAUCAAGAGUCGCUUUUAGUCUUAAUGCCCAUAUAGUCUUACCAUCUUCGCUGCCUUCAAUUUCUGAAAUACCCCUUUCUUUCCAUGACAGAAGUUCAUUUCCAACAGCUUUGCACUCCUCGGGCUUCCAACCAGAUAGGCCUAGCUGUUGGAUUCCUACUGUAAGUGCUCCAAUUGGAUCAUUCCAAGAGCUAACGUUUUUCACAGUUACAUUCUCUGCAAGCCAAUCAGCUCCUCCUAGAGCUUCAACUGCAUUCACAAACCUGCUCAAAAGAACAAAUGCAUAGUCUUCAAGCCCAAUUUCGCAGAGACGCCACUUCUGACGCAUAGCUAUUGAAGCAUCUGGAGCAUCAUUUCGGAGGCCACUUUCAAGACCCUUGGAAAUUACUUCACGAAGAGCAUUCAGAGAGUUGAUAGUCCUGACUAGAAAUCCAGUUCUUUCAGUCUCUGAAACAUUAUGUUUUUCAUCCAAUCUAACCAAUUCCUUUUUGGACUCCAAGAAUGAUGAAAGCAUUGUCAAGCUACUUCCGUCGAGUGAUUCUCUUAUAGAUUCCAGCUGUUCAUCAAGACUCCCAGCAUUGAAGAAAUCUUUUAGUUCAUUGUGGAAAAUCUUGAAUUGCUCUACAAAUGCCUCACUGUAUUGUCCAGGUUGUUUGGUAAUUCUUUCGAGCAUUGCUUCUGUGGAUACUAGAUCUUCAGGGCCAGCAUUUCUAUGGAGCUUGUUUUGUAUAGUAUGUUUGAUUUCUUGCUUAAGAUCAUGCGGAAUAUCAUUCCUAUGAGCGAUGUCCCUGAUUCUCGUUAAAGGAACGGAUGCAGUGAAUUCUGCUUUAAAAGAAGGCAAGCACGGUUGCAUCUUGCGGAUCACAAGUAUUUCCUGAAGUGUAGUGUCUUUCCUGCUCAAGACUUUUUCUACUUCACGAAAUAUAAGCCUGGAAAUCUCUGCAUGUCUAUUUGGUCGAUGGUGACCCCCAUCUUCAAGGCAAGGAAUUUGCCCUGUAUUUAUCCACUUUAGAUAGACAGCUGCAUACGUGAGAGCCUCCAAGCGAUGUGAACUAUCCAUGUUUUCAACAACUAGUUCUCGAACAACCUCAAGCUUCCGCCACCAGUUUCGAGCAUUCUUAUCACCUUCAACAAGCUUUAGGGAAAUUCCGGUGAGACCUGAUGUGUCCCACUUCCUAUUUUUAUCAGAAUCCAGCUGGUCGUUUGAACGUACAAAAGAUGCAGCCCUCCCUUGCCAUUGCUCCACAAAUGGACUUGUUACUACGUCAGGAACAACUGCCUGGCUAGUAAUUGUAGCUCCAUUAUCACUUGUCUCUUCUACUAACUUCUCUACCUCAAAUGGAUCCAAUGACAACAAAUUCACAGGCUCAUCUGUCACAUUCCAUUGACAGACCAGUUCAAAACUUCCUCCUUCUGGUAGCUUCAAGAUCCGAUUACUGCCGUUUUCCCAUAACAUAUUCUUGAGUAUAAGUUUGUAAUUGUUGGUAAGGACAAGAAUAUGUUAUG